rnacentral:lncRNA from 1 species
AGAGAGAGAGAGAAAACCGAAGGGAGCGGCUCCAACAGAGAGAAAGAAAGAGAACAGAGAUGGGGAGGAAUUGAGGUAGAGAGAGAAGAGCUCUCAGCCGAAUUUGGAAGGAAAAGGGGGAAGAGAAUUGGGUGUUGGGCCAUUACUUUGGGCUCGAUUUUUUUUAAUAUUUGGGCUUUCCAUUUAUUUAGAUUGGGCUUCCUCUUUUAAUUGACUUUGGGCUUGUCCACUUUUAACUGUUGUGGACCGAAUUAUUUUAAGUUGGGCUCGAUUAAUUUAAAAAAAAAUUGGGCUUAUUUUUUUUAAUUGGGCUUAUUUAUGUAAUUCUUUGGGCCUUGUUGAUUUAUUUUUAGUGGGCUUGAGUUGGGCUGGCUUAUUUAUUAAUAUUGGGCUUCUGAUCUUAUUUAAAUGGCCGAUUUUAAUUACUGAUUGGGCCUCCGAUUUUAUUUAUAUGGGCUUUGAUUUAAUUGUUGUUUUGAUUUGU